CACGUAGGGGGCAAGCGUUGUCCGGAUUUAUUGGGCGUAAAGAGCUCGUAGGUGGUUCGGUAAGUCGGGUGUGAAACCUCCAGGCUCAACCUGGAGACGCCACCCGAUACUGCUGUGACUGGAGUCCGGUAGGGGAGCGUGGAAUUCCUGGUGUAGCGGUGAAAUGCGCAGAUAUCAGGAGGAACACCAGCGGCGAAGGCGGCGCUCUGGGCCGGUACUGACGCUGAGGUGCGAAAGCGUGGGGAGCAAACAGG
rnacentral:rRNA from 1 species